rnacentral:misc_RNA from 1 species
GAUGAAGAACGCAGCAAAAUGCGAUACUUGGUGUGAAUUGCAGAAUCCCGUGAACCAUCGAGUUUUUGAACGCAAGUUGCGCCCGAAGCCUUUUCGCCGAGGGCACGUCUGCCUGGGCGUCACGCAUCGCGUCGCCCCCCACAAUUCUCCGUAAAGGGAACGUGUGUUUUGGGGGCGGAUAUUGGUCUCCCGUGCUCAUGGCGUGGUUGGCCGAAAUAGGAGUCCUUUCGAUGGACGCACGAACUAGUGGUGGUCGUAAAAACCCUCGUCUUUUGUUUCGUGCUGUUGCUCGCAAGGUAAACUCUUUAAAAACCCCAAUGUGUCGUCUCUUGACGACGCUUCGACCGCGACCCCAGGUCAGGCGGGACUACCCGCUGAGUUUAAGCAUAUCAAUAAGCGGAGGA